UAGAGGUAAGUAUAGAGGAAGUACAGAGAGUUUUGGUCCCUCAGGUGUGGGUUCAAUUCCCACCCUUCUAA
rnacentral:tRNA from 1 species